CCCUUAGAUGUUCUGGGCCGUACGCGCGCUACACUGUUCGACGCAGCGAGUCUUAACCUUGACCGAAAGGUUUGGGUAAUCUUCAGCAAAGUCGAACGUGAUGGGGAUCGAUCAUUGCAAUUAUUGAUCGUGAACGAGGAAUUCCUAGUAAGUGCAAGUCAUCAGCUUGCGCUGAUUACGUCCCUGCCCUUUGUACACACCGCCCGUCGCUACUACCGAUUGAAUGGUUUAGUGAGAUCUCUGGAUUGACGCUGGCUAGGGGGCGACCCUUGGCCAGACUGUUGAGAAACUGCUCAAACUUGAUCAUUUAGAGGAAGUAAAAGUCGUAACA
rnacentral:rRNA from 1 species